rnacentral:rRNA from 1 species
CCUACGGGAGGCAGCAGUGAGGAAUAUUGGUCAAUGGACGAGAGUCUGAACCAGCCAAGUAGCGUGAAGGAUGACUGCCCUAUGGGUUGUAAACUUCUUUUAUAUGGGAAUAAAACGUUCCACGUGUGGGAUUUUGUAUGUACCAUAUGAAUAAGGAUCGGCUAACUCCGUGCCAGCAGCCGCGGUAAUACGGAGGAUCCGAGCAUUAUCCGGAUUUAUUGGGUGUAAAGGGAGCGUAGGUGGAUUGUUAAGUCAGUUGUGAAAGUUUGCGGCUCAACCGUAAAAUUGCAGUUGAAACUGGCAGUCUUGAGUACAGUAGAGGUGGGCGGAAUUCGUGGUGUAGCGGUGAAAUGCUUAGAUAUCACGAAGAACUCCGAUUGCGAAGGCAGUUCACUGGACUGCAACUGACACUGAGGCUCGAAAGUGUGGGUAUCAAACAGGAUUAGAUACCCCUGUAGUC